rnacentral:rRNA from 1 species
CGGAGGGGGCGAGCGUUGUCCGAAGUUACUGGGCGUAAAGCGCGCGUAGGUGGGAGCAAAAGUCCGCUGUGAAAGCCCGAGGCUCAACCUCGGAGGGUCGGUGGAUACUGUGCUUCUUGAAGGUGCUAGGGGAAGAUGGAAUUACCGGUGUAGCGGUGAAAUGCGUAGAUAUCGGUAGGAACACCAGUGGCGAAGGCGGUCUUCUGGGGCACUCUUGACGCUGAGGCGCGAAAGCGUGGGGGAGCGAACGGGAUUAGACUACCCCGGUACGUCCCACGACCCUAAACGAUGGAUACUAGGUGGUCGGGGUAUCCGACCCCCCGGUGCCGUCGCUAACGUUUUUAGUAUUCCGCCUGGGGAGUACGCACGCAAGUGUG